rnacentral:rRNA from 1 species
GUGUCAGCAGCCGCGGUAAUACGGGGGGGGCAAGCGUUGUUCGGAAUUACUGGGCGUAAAGGGCUCGUAGGUGGCCAACUAAGUCAGACGUGAAAUCCCUCGGCUUAACCGAGGAACUGCGUCUGAUACUGGAUGGCUGGAGUUUGGGAGAGGAAUGCGGAAUUCCAGGUGUAGCGGUGAAAUGCGUAGAUAUCUGGAGGAACACCGGUGGCGAAGGCGGCAUUCUGGACCAAUACUGACGCUGAGGAGCGAAAGCCAGGGGAGCAAACGGGAUUAGAUACCCGAGUAGUCC